rnacentral:rRNA from 1 species
UACGAAGGGGGCUAGCGUUGCUCGGAAUCACUGGGCGUAAAGCGCACGUAGGCGGAUUGCUAAGUCAGGGGUGAAAUCCUGGAGCUCAACUCCAGAACUGCCUUUGAUACUGGCGACCUUGAGUCCGGGAGAGGUGAGUGGAACUGCGAGUGUAGAGGUAAAAUUCGUAGAUAUUCGCAAGAACACCAGUGGCGAAGGCGGCUCACUGGCCCGGUACUGACGCUGAGGUGCGAAAGCGUGGGAGCAAACAGG